GACGAAGGAUUCAAGCGUUGUCCGGAUUUACUGGGUUUAAAGGGUGCGUAGGCGGAAAUAUAAGUCAGUGGUGAAAUCCCGCAGCUCAACUGCGGAACUGCCAUUGAAACUGCAUUUCUUGAAUACGGUUGAGGUAGAUGGAAUGUAACAUGUAGCGGUGAAAUGCUUAGAUAUGUUACAGAACACCGAUUGCGAAGGCAGUCUACUAAGCCGUUAUUGACGCUGAGGCACGAAAGCGUGGGGAGCAAACAGG
rnacentral:rRNA from 1 species